rnacentral:rRNA from 1 species
GAUGAACGCUGGCGGCGUGCCUAAUACAUGCAAGUCGAGCGAACGGACUAGAAGCUUGCUUCUCUGCUGUUAGCGGCGGACGGGUGAGUAACACGUGGAUAACCUACCUCUAAGACUGGGAUAACUUCGGGAAACCGGUGCUAAUACCGUAUAAUAUUUUGAACCGUAUGGUUCAAAAGUGAAAGACGGUCUUUCUGUCUCUUAUAGAUGGAUCCGCGCUACAUUAGCUAGUUGGUAAGGUAACGGCUUACCAAGGCAACGAUGCAUAGCCGAGCUGAGAGGGUGAACGACCACACUGGAACGGAGACACGGUCCAGACUCCUAGGGGAGGCAGCAGUAGGGAAUCUUACGCAAUGGGCGAAAGCAUGACGGAGCAACGCCGCGUGGGUGAAGAAGGUCUUCGGGUUGUAAAACUCUGUUAUUAGGGAAGAAAAGAUGUGUAUGUAGCUGUGCACAUCUUGACGGUACCUAAACAGAAAGCAACGGCUAACUACGUG